AUUGAACGCUGGCGGCAUGCUUUACACAUGCAAGUCGAACGGUAACAGGCCGCAAGGUGCUGACGAGUGGCGAACGGGUGAGUAAUGCAUCGGAACGUGCCCAGUCGUGGGGGAUAACGCAGCGAAAGCUGCGCUAAUACCGCAUACGAUCUAUGGAUGAAAGCGGGGGACUGUAAGGCCUCGCGCGAUUGGAGCGGCCGAUGUCAGAUUAGGUAGUUGGUGGGGUAAAGGCUCACCAAGCCAACGAUCUGUAGCUGGUCUGAGAGGACGACCAGCCACACUGGGACUGAGACACGGCCCAGACUCCUACGGGAGGCAGCAGUGGGGAAUUUUGGACAAUGGGCGCAAGCCUGAUCCAGCAAUGCCGCGUGCAGGAAGAAGGCCUUCGGGUUGUAAACUGCUUUUGUACGGAACGAAACGGCUCUCACUAAUACUGGGGGCUAAUGACGGUACCGUAAGAAUAAGCACCGGCUAACUACGUGCCAGCAGCCGCAGUAAUAC
rnacentral:rRNA from 1 species